GGAGAGGUACCCAAGCCGGCCAAAGGGGGCAGACUGUAAAUCUGUUGUCUCAGACUUCACUGGUUCGAAUCCAGUCCUCUCCACCA
rnacentral:tRNA from 4 species